rnacentral:rRNA from 1 species
CCUACGGGAGGCAGCAGUGGGGAAUAUUGCACAAUGGGGGAAACCCUGAUGCAGCGACGCCGCGUGAGCGAAGAAGGUUUUCGAAUCGUAAAGCUCUGUCCUAUGGGAAGAUAAUGACGGUACCAUAGGAGGAAGCCCCGGCUAACUACGUGCCAGCAGCCGCGGUAAUA